rnacentral:rRNA from 1 species
CAGUCGCCGCGGUAAUACGGAGGGUGCAAGCGUUAAUCGGAAUUACUGGGCGUAAAGCGCACGCAGGCGGUCUGACAAGUCAGAUGUGAAAUCCCCGGGCUUAACCUGGGAACUGCAUUUGAAACUGUCAGGCUGGAGUCUUGUAGAGGGGGGUAGAAUUCCAGGUGUAGCGGUGAAAUGCGUAGAGAUCUGGAGGAAUACCGGUGGCGAAGGCGGCCCCCUGGACAAAGACUGACGCUCAGGUGCGAAAGCGUGGGGAGCAAACAGGAUUAGAUACCCCUGUAGUCCCUGUCUCUUAUAU